rnacentral:snoRNA from 1 species
CCCCUCACAAGGUCGCAUUUGGAGAGUUUCCAGUACUCUACCAGUCUUGACUACAGGAGGGAGAGUCAAGCAGAGGCAUAUCCAUUCCAUUCCAAGUUUGAGCAGUGGCUAGUGAGUGGAAGGCAAUCUGCUACAAAC